UUUUGAGUGGGUAGUACUUAUUAGAUAAAAACCAGUAUUUUAUGGUGAGUCAUAGUAAUUUUUCGAAUCCUCCGCUUUCGCGGGGGAUGGGUCAUUCAAAUUUCUGCCCUAUCAGCUGUGAUGUUAGUGUAUUGGACUAACAUGGCUUAAACGGGUGACGGAGGAUUAGGGUCUGAUUCCGGAGAGGGAGCCUGAGAAACGGCUACCACUUCCAAGGAAGGCAGCAGGCGCGUAAAUUACCCAAUCCCAAUACGGGGAGGUAGUGACAAGAAAUAACAAUACCGGGCUUUUACAAGUCUGGUAAUUGGAAUGAGAACAAUAUAAACUCCUUAACGAGAAUCUAUUGGAGGGCAAGUCUGGUGCCAGCAGCCGCGGUAAUACCAGCUCCAAAAGCAUAUAUUAACGUUGUUGCAGUUAAAAGGCUCGUAGUCAAACUUGUGAUCUUUCAAUUCGUACCAAGUGUCUAGUACACUCUGUGUUUGUAAUUGUCGAUCAUCUUUCUGGACGGCACUUCUGCUCUUGAUUGAGUUGGUUGUGUUGUACAGAUCAUUUACUGUGAAUAAAUCAGAGUGUUCC
rnacentral:rRNA from 1 species